AUAAAGAUCCCAGACACCAUCAAAGCUGUUACAGGUCUCCAGGAAUAUCUCUAUUUCAGUCUCAGAUGUGAUGACAUCUAAGCACUGGCUGGGAACCACUCUUCUCAUCAGUACAUACCAUCAGACCCUGGAAUAAAUCUGUGGCCAGAGUUCAGCUUGGAUGGUGAAGCUGAAGCUACAGAGAUAAGAAAGUGCCUGAAAUGUCUCCAUGUACCUGCACUAUGGUCAUGGAAAGCAUGGAAAUUAUGGCAGUAGUGGAUUCCCAGCCUUCAGACAUUUGCUGCAUUCUCCUUGUGCUGAUCUUAUGUAUCUUAGCCCAGUAUUAAAUCUGACUGCCUGCAAAA